GACGAACGCUGGCGGCGUGCCUAAUACAUGCAAGUCGAGCGCAGGAAACUGACGGAACUCUUCGGAGGGAGGGCAGUGGAAUGAGCGGCGGACGGGUGAGUAACACGUAAGGAACCUGCCUCAAGGAUUGGGAUAACUCCGAGAAAUCGGAGCUAAUACCGGAUAGUUCAACGGACCGCAUGGUCUGCUGAUGAAAGGCGCUUCGGCGUCACCUUGAGAUGGCCUUGCGGUGCAUUAGCUAGUUGGUGGGGUAACGGCCCCCCAAGGCGACGAUGCAUAGCCGAGCUGAGAGGGUGAUCGGCCACACUGGGACUGAGACACGGACCAGACUCCUACGGGAGGCAGCAGUAGAGAAUCUUCCACAAUGGACGAAAGGCUGAUGGAGCAACGCCGCGUGAGUGAUGAAGGUUUUCGGAUCGUAAAACCCUGUUGUAAGGGAAGAACACGUACGAGAGGGAAUGCUCGUACCUUGACGGUACCUUACGAGAAAGCCACGGCUAACUACGUGCCAGCCGCCGCGGUAA
rnacentral:rRNA from 1 species